GCGUUCUGAAGCUGUUCAUCACAUGGAACGGCUUCGCCAUCUUCCUACUUUGGAGCACUUCAUGCGUGACUUCAGUGCGGAGUACUCUCCUGCAAGUUCGACCCUAUGCUCGAAAGGAUCACACAAACGAAACACCUGAAGCCAACAUCACGCCAGGUGCCCUGAUAGGCUUUGAGGUGAGUCAGCCUACAACACCGUUGUAUCAUGUCGUAAAUAGCAUGCCUACAAAGGGCCAAUAAAAAAUGAAGCUUGAAUUUAAAAGGCUAGUUGAAGGCCUUUUUUCUUUCUUAUUUUUUUUUUUCAUUCUAUGCGAAAGGCUCCUAUUACGCUGAAGAGAAGCAGCGAUGUUCAAUACUGCUAUACCAGCAACGUAUAUUCACCAAUUAUCUCCCUCAUUCUUGAAAUGAAAAUAAACUGAUUUGAUUUGA